CUUCAUUGACACCUCUAAAAAGGGGGCAUUGGAAGUUGCAGAUUGAUUCGUUACACCUUGCUAGGAAGUGACUACUCUGCAUGGGAAGGGGAGGGGCGCCGAGUGCACAAAUCCACUGUGACUGAAACAGUGCACUGCUCUCCAUCCCUGCGCAUUUAUUUUAAAUCUAUCUCAUUCACUAUGUUAUUAACAUGUCAAUACAACAACUUAUUCUACCCGACUGCAUUGAGGCAGAGUAGCUGUUUGGUCAAUAACUCAAAUAGCCAAGCUGUUGAAUGUAUUCUAAACCUAGGACAUCAAGAGAACCCCAAUUGACCGUGAAGUUGAGUUUUCUUCUAUUUUUUUUAAUGAUAUGCUCGUUUAUUUUGGCUACUCUGUGGGUGCAUGUGUUACCUAAAAGCACGUUUGAUGGUGCUAAGUAGGCUAGCUUAUAACUUCGGUAGCAUUGAAGCUGUUUUACGUUGCUCAGCGGUAGAUACGCACCGUUCCACCCACCACCCCAUGCAUCAGAUAUUUUGGAGAUUUUCCAUCACCACCAUGGCUGCCGCUUCUUGCUAAUGCACCAACUCAAUCCACAUUCUCGGGCGCACGACUGCAUUUUUGCGAGACGGAUUAAUUUCCCAACGCCCAGGCGGCCGGCAGACGAACCUUGUUUAACUGACCCUGAUUGGUUGACGUGAACACACACGGAUUGUAUGGAUGGUGUACAGUGAUACCAGUGAGAAUGGACCUACUAUUUCACCCCUGCUUCUAAAUACUACAUUGGCUGAAGGCCCAGUGCUAGAAGGUGAGGGAACAUUCCAAAAGUAGUGUACUGUUUACUUAUACAAACAACCUCAUCCCAAACAUGUAUGUGAUAUGCAGUAUACACAAAAUGUACCUGUACAUUUUUACCCUUUUAUUGAUGAAGUAAGGAUAAGAUAUUUAGCUAGAGAUAGAUGACUCUCUACCCAAACUUUACUGCCCCUUAAUAUAAGCUGGAAAUGGGUAAGAUGGCAACAAUGGAAUAUCCAAAAACUAAAAGUAAUGAAAGUUAGAACUUACUUUUAUAGGCCAACAAUUGGAGACAAUAUGUUACAUACAUUAGCCAAUGUAUUUGUUUUGUCACUGACUGACACUUGAUUAACGCAUUUAGUUUUUCCAUUUUAUCUUCCAAUAUAAUAAUUAUUAAAUGUAAAGUUUGGAUACAAAGUGCUAUGCCUACAUGCAUUUUUUAUUAAGUACUACAUUUUUAUCAAAGCUUCAGAUAAAAUGUUUGAGUGUGAUGCCUCUUUUGACCUGCUAUCACACAACCUCACCAGUCACACUAAGAAAUAUUUAAUCAGACAAAUACAGUUGAAUGUAAACAUGCUGUUGGCACAAUAAAGAGAAAGACUUUUAA